AAGCCGCGAUCAGCUCAUAGCGUAUAUUAAAGUUGUUGCAGUUAAAAAGCUCGUAGUUGAACUUUAGGCCCGGUUGGACGGUCGACUCUAGGGUUUGUACUGUCCUGACUGGGUCUUACCUUCUGGUGAGCUGUCGUGUUGUUUACUCAGUGCGGCAGGGAACCAGGACUUUUACUUUGAAAAAAUUAGAGUGUUUAAAGCAGGCAAU
rnacentral:rRNA from 1 species